ensembl:lncRNA
UGAGAAGGGACAGGGCCGGGACCUGGCUGUGGGUCUGCCGGACCCCGGUCCACGGUGCUGCUGAGCCCGGCUUCCGCUAACAGAGCGGCUCCACCGUGGCUAGCGGCUGACCUUGGGCAAGUUAGUUGCCCCUCGAAGCCUCUGUUUCUCCUUCUGUAAAAGGAGACUGACAAUAAUAGGGGGUAGCAGAGCUCGUACAGCCCUUCCCCUCAGGCUCUGCAGGCGCCGACCCCCUGGCUCCUGCCUGCAUGGCGCAGCACGAGCCCUCGCAUCCCGCCACCACAAAUCACGCCACCUCACUCCCGACUCGAGCUUGACAGUGGUUUCCUUCCUGCUCGAAGGGCACGCUGAAGCCCUCUGCGCGGCCGCGGGACCCGCCCUCGCUCGCCCUCCUCCAGCCACACUGGCCUCUGGCUCUUUCUCCAAAGCCCCAAGCCCGCUCUUCUGGGGGCUCCCGCGAGCAGCACCCCCGCGGCCUGGAGUCCCGUUCCCGUGGCUGUGGCUCCUCCCUUCACUUCCUGCGGGUCUCUGUCCAAGCGCCGUCUCCCAGAGAGGCCCCCCCCGGGCCCCAGUUUUAUGUGCCCCCCUCAUUCUCCUUCCCCACCCUGCUUCUCUUCUCACACAGCCCUGGCAUUGCACUCCUCACCUACUGGUGUGUUCGCUCACUGUCUGUCUCCCUCACUAGAUUGCAAACGCCAUGAGGCCAAGGACUUUGCUCACUCACCACCACGUCAGCGGAAGCAGGAUAGUGCCUGACCUGCCACAAGGCACCCAGCAGAUAUUUGUUGAGGGAAUGAAGGAAUGAGUGAAUGAAUGAAUGCAUGCAUGAGUGAAUGAAUGAAUGCAUGACUGAAUGAAUAAAUGAACGAAUGAAAGAAUAAGUGAACGAAUGAACAAAUGAGUGAAUGACAGAAUGGGCGAAUGAAUGAAUGAGCGAAUGAAUGAAUGAGCAAAUGAAUGAAUGAGCAAAUGAAUGAAUGAGUGAGUGAAAGAAUGAGCAAAUCAAAUAAGUGAACAAAUGAGUGAAGGAAAGGAUGAGUGAGGGAAUGAAUGAAUGUGUGAAUGAAUGAGUGAGUGAGUGGGUGAAUGAAUAAAUGAGUGAAUGAAAGAAUAAGUGAAUGAAUGAACAAAUGAGUGAGUGAGUGGGUGAAUGAAUGAAUGACGGAAUGAGGAAUGAAAACCUUUGGGCGGGAAAGGCAUCUCUGACCCUUCCGCUCAUCCUGGCUGCAUCUCCCUCUGAGAGACCGGCCAGGGUGGGAAGGAAUCCUCUGGAAAGUGCUGAAAGGAGGCUCCCCUGUGGCUGCUCAGAGCAGGGAUGGAGCCGCCCGGAAAGGAGCAACUCGGGUGCCUUCCACGCACCAGCUCUGGCUGCCAGCAGCUCGUGUCCCCCCGCCAGCCUCCCCCACUGCCAGGAAUGGAUCGUUUCCUUGCUGCCAAGGGGCCCAUUCAGCUGUCACCACUCCAGGCUGAGAUGCCACCUGCCAGGCAAGACCAGGAGGCCAGGGCCAGUAGGGCACCACCACCAGCUGGGCACCCAGGCUUUACCCAGCGAAGCAGGCAGGAGCCAGGGGCCUCGAGUGCUUUCCCCGCCCUCCAGGAGGGAGACAUGAUUAGGACACAGACACACAGAGGGACGACCGUGUGAAGACGCAGAGGGAAGACAGCUGUCUACAAGCCAAGGGGAGAGGCCUCAGGAUGAAACACCACCAGCACCUUGAUCUUGGCCUUCCAGCCUCCAGAACUGUGAGAAAAGAAAAUUCUGUUGUUUAAGUCACCCAGUUUUGGGUGGCCGGAGCAAACUAAGACUCCAGGCACGGAGCUAGGGCAUAUGUGCCAUUCCAGCUGAUGAGAUGCAAGGGAGGUCUGAUGGGGUGCUUCCAGAAGGUUUUUCUCUCUCUUAAAAAGGAGCAGCAGGAUGAAGGAGCCCACUCGCCUCAGGCCUGUAGACAUUGUUGUUUGAGCACAUUGUGCCGGGAGCUACUGCAGCCAUUUUGCCACCAUGAGGUGAGCAAGGAUGGAUGAACAGAAAGAUGGAGAAACCCUGGGUCUUUGAUGCCAUCACUGAGCAUAAAUUAUUCACCCUAGUGCUGACUUCUAUUUAUAAGAGAAAUAAAGCUUCCUUCCUGUUUAG